UGGUGGAGCGAUUUGUCUGGUUAAUUCCGAUAACGAACGAGACUCUAGCCUAUUAAAUAGUUCGCCGAUCCACGUUACGUCGGCGUCAACUUCUUAGAGGGACAAGUGGCGUUUAGCCACGCGAGAUUGAGCAAUAACA
rnacentral:rRNA from 1 species